rnacentral:rRNA from 1 species
AGGUCCCGCCUGCCCUGUGACUUAGUUUAACGGCCGCGGUAUCAUAACCGUGCGAAGGUAGCAUAAUAAAUUGUUCUCUAAAUAGGGACUAGUAUGAAAGGCACCACGAGGGCUUAACUGUCUCCCUUUUCCAAUUAAUGAAACUGAUCUUCUCGUGAAGAAGCGAGAAUAAAAAUAUAAGACGAGAAGACCCCAUGGAGCUUCAAACUCAUCAUCAUUUACUUUUAUUACAUCAUCACAUAUAGUAAAAAUGUUAACUGAUAGUUUUCGGCUGGGGUGACCCUGGAGAAAAACAAAUCCUCCAGGAUGAACGGAAUAAUAAUCCUAAUCUAAGAGUCACAACUCUAAGAAUCAAAACAUUGACAUCAUUUGAUCCAAUUACUUGAUCAACGAACCAAGUUACCCUGGGGAUAACAGCGCAAUCCAUUUCAAGAGCCCUUAUCGGACAAUGGGUUUACGACCUCGAUGUUGGAUCGGGGUAUCCCAGUGGCGCAGCCGCUACUAAAGGUUCGUUUGUUCAACGAUUA